rnacentral:lncRNA from 1 species
AAAAAUGCACUCCAUUAGAAUGAGGAGAACAUAAAACUUCUCGUGUUCCCUUGGAGACUUGAAAUAUUUGCUGCUGUAUUUUAUAUGGCAUUGUAAUAAUUUGAGUAUGAAUAUUGUCGUAUUAUAUACGCUACAAUAUUUGUAUUAAAAUACACAGUAUACGUGUUGUCGUAUUUUGCACGACAGUUGUAUAAAUGAAGUUGUAAGUAGUGUUAUUUCUGGUGACUCACAAUGGGUGAUGUAUACUUAUUUUGGGGGCGUCACAUUUUGGUUGAGUCAAACUGGGUUGGGUUGGGUCAAAAUUGGUCAAAAUGGAUCUGGUUGAGGUCAAAUUGGGCUGAAGGAACGGAAACGCCAACAAAAUGUCACUUUAAGGACCUAAUUGACGAAAAUUGAACUUUAGGGGUGAAUUUAAAAGUGGGUGACAACUUGGAGGGGGCAAAAGUGUCAUUCAGCCUUAUAUGUUAGGAUAUAGCUCGAAAAAUCCAGCACAUAUCUUGUUGCCUAGGCCCAAGAACCGAUAAGCUUGGUAUGCUCAAAUGGCUCGAGAGAAUCGUGUCGGGAAAGCUUGAAGAGUCUGUCCAAUCCGAAGGGUCCCACAUAGCCAUAUCUCGAGCAGUGUGAAAGUCAUGUGAUGGGACACCAUUUGUUAUGUCUGCCAUGCCUAUACAUUGGUACCUGAUGGGACACCUCAAGUAAGACAAAAUGUGUGAGACUAUAAAUAGAGAUCAAAAAGGAUAAAGAAAAGUUAGAUACUUUUUACACUUGAAAGAUAAAUUUAAAUUGAUUACUUAUCUCUUUGCCUUAUUCACUAAUUCCCACACCCGAGACGCUCCAGGGUGGCUCGAGCCGUUUCAUAUCAUGAGAACGUUUGUAUAGGUCUAGACGAACAUGGAUCCAUAACUGAAGAUUUGAUCCAAGGGUUAAGUCACCAUCAUUGGCGCUAGAAGAAAGACAUUCUUGUGUAAAAUCCUUAUGUUCCAGCAACCAAAGGACUUGAAUCAUUUUUACUCUUUUGUUUAUUUUUAUCCGGUUGAAAACUUUACCCACCGAGAAUAGUUAUUUCGGUCGUGGUUGGUUCUUUAACUGGUGGAGAAACAUAUUAAGGUCGAUGAUUUGAGUGCAAAUAAUCUUCAGUACGUUAAGAUAACACCCCAACAUGCAUGGUUAGAACACUUAACAAAAGCCAUAAAAGUGGUGCAGCAACACAGAGUCAUAGAAGUGGAGGGGCUGAUCAAAGCCACCACGAACCAAACCAUUAAGUGGAGGUUUAGCCCUCUAUGUACCCUUCGCCAUCUAUGGACGAUUCUGUAUAUUCGGUGCAUUCAGGACGCUCUAUCCAUUCAGAACGAUCACAAAGACUGCUGGAUCUGAGGUUUAUUUUGAAUAGAAGCAGGGCCCAUAUUUUAGCAGGCUCUAGAGAUGCCCACCUCUAUGAACUUGAGGCUUUACGUACGUUUGCAAAAUGAAGAAGAUGGUAAAAGGAUAUCUGAUAUAGAGGCACAACUUGUAACGACCCCAAAAUCCGACAUCUAAUCUAUCCCGAUCUUGUGCACUAACUUAUAGCC